rnacentral:rRNA from 1 species
AACGAACGCUGGCGGCAUGCCUAACACAUGCAAGUCGAACGAAGUCUUCGGACUUAGUGGCGCACGGGUGCGUAACGCGUGGGAAUCUGCCCUUGGGUGCGGAAUAACUUCUCGAAAGGGAUGCUAAUACCGCAUAAUGUCGUAAGACCAAAGAUUUAUCGCCCAAGGAUGAGCCCGCGUAAGAUUAGCUAGUUGGUGGGGUAAAAGCCUACCAAGGCGACGAUCUUUAGCUGGUCUGAGAGGAUGAUCAGCCACACUGGGACUGAGACACGGCCCAGACUCCUACGGGAGGCAGCAGUGGGGAAUAUUGGACAAUGGGCGAAAGCCUGAUCCAGCAAUGCCGCGUGAGUGAUGAAGGCCCUAGGGUUGUAAAGCUCUUUUACCAGGGAAGAUGAUGACUGUACCUGGAGAAUAAGCCCCGGCUAACUUCGUGCCAGCAGCCGC